rnacentral:rRNA from 1 species
AUUGAACGCUGGCGGCAUGCUUUACACAUGCAAGUCGAACGGUAACAGGCCUUCGGGUGCUGACGAGUAGCGCACGGGUGAGUAAUGCAUCGGAACGUACCCAGAGGUGGGGAUAACGCAGCGAAAGCUGUGCUAAUACCGCCUGUGAUCUGAGGAUGAACGCGGGGGACCGAGCAGCAAUGUUUGGCCUCGCGCCUUUGGAGCGGCCGAUGUCGGAUUAGCGAGUGGGUGGGGUAAAGGCCUACCAAGGCGACGAUCCGUAGCUGGUCUGAGAGGACGACGAGCCACACCUGAACGGAGACACGGCCAAGACUCCUACGGGAGGCAGCAGUGACGAAUACUGGAGGAUGGGCGCAAGACUGUUCGAGCAAUGCCGCGUGCGGGAAGAAGGCCUUCGGGUUGUAAAACGCUUUUGGCAGGAACGAAACGGUGUCCGCUAAUACCGGGCGCUAAUGACGGUACCUGCAGAAUAAGCACCGGCUAACUACGUG